GACGAACGCUGGCGGCGUGCUUAACACAUGCAAGUCGAACGGUGAAAGAAGAGCUUGCUCUUCUGGAUCAGUGGCGAACGGGUGAGUAACACGUGAGUAACCUGCCCCAGACUCUGGAAUAAGCGCUGGAAACGGCGUCUAAUACCGGAUACGGGACAGAGCUGCAUGGCUACUGUCUGGAAAGUUUUUCGGUCUGGGAUGGACUCGCGGCCUAUCAGCUUGUUGGUGAGGUAACGGCUCACCAAGGCAACGACGGGUAGCCGGCCUGAGAGGGCGACCGGCCACACUGGGACUGAGACACGGCCCAGACUCCUACGGGAGGCAGCAGUGGGGAAUAUUGCACAAUGGGCGAAAGCCUGAUGCAGCGACGCCGCGUGAGGGAUGACGGCCUUCGGGUUGUAAACCUCUUUCAGCAGGGAAGAAGCGAAAGUGACGGUACCUGCAGAAGAAGCACCGGCUAACUACGUG
rnacentral:rRNA from 1 species